rnacentral:rRNA from 1 species
AUUGAACGCUGGCGGCAGGCCUAACACAUGCAAGUCGAGCGUGAAAGUCCUUCGGGAUGAGUAAAGACGGCGGACGGGUGAGUAACGCGUAGGAAUCUACCUAGUAGUGGGGGAUAACGUUCCGAAAGGAACGCUAAUACCGCAUACGUUCUAAGGAAGAAAGCAGGGGCUCGUAAGACCUUGCGCUAUUAGAUGAGCCUGCGUCCGAUUAGCUAGUUGGUGGGGUAAAGGCCUACCAAGGCGACGAUCGGUAACUGGUCUGAGAGGAUGAUCAGUCACACUGGAACUGAGACACGGUCCAGACUCCUACGGGAGGCAGCAGUGGGGAAUAUUGGGACAAAUGGGGGCGAACCCUGAUCCAGCCAUGCCGCGUGUGUGAAGAA